GAGCAGAGAGGAAGUGCGGAAAUGGCGGCUCUGGGCAGCACGCAGCAAUAAAUUUACGAUACAUGCACUAGUUGGCUGCUCUGUUAAUUUUUUUUCCUAAUGAAUGAAGGGACGUGUCCACAAGCAAAGCAGGCAGGACCGGAGAAGGGUUGCGCUCGUCCCCCUCAAACCAUCUCUGAAUACUAGUAGCAAUAAUAGCAUCCUUAGGCCCAGAGGCCAGAAGUCAGCUUCGCAUCGCAUCUCUGAUAAGACCUUGUACCGGGGGAGAUCAUAGAUCUCCCGGCCCCACCACGAGCGUAGAGUACUCUGGGCCGUUCGAGGGGGUGGUCACCGGUCAUGCUGCCUUCCCUACGCUAAGGCAGCUUUCCUCGCCGCAGUUCAAUCAUAUCAUGUCGUAUUUUUCUUGUCAUAAAUAUCAUCAAAAUCAGUGAUUUUAUAUUCAUUGUGUGCAGCACGAGAGGCAAGAAGGGAUAAAAGGAUAAAAAUAACCGAUGGAGGGGAAAAAAGAAGAAUAAACUACUGAAAUAGAAGCAUAUGAGGUGACCACACGAUGGAUGCCCUCAUCCUCUACCCCAUCCACUCUAUGGUGAGCUGACAAGUGGGACGUAAGCGGGGAUCCCGGCCCCGAUAGCAAGCAGACCCGGUGAGCAACAGCCACCGUAGAACGAGUGGACCCACCAAUUCCCCGGAUCGCACCAGGGAUCAUCCAACGUGGCAAGCUUAACUGGCAAAACCCCCCAACUCAUCUUCCACAUUUAAAAGCCGAUGGCCUUUUUAAUCAUCAUUAAUCACAAGGUGAGCGUAAC
rnacentral:lncRNA from 1 species